GCGUGUGUGUGUGUGUGUAUUGCGUUUGCUCUCGGGAGAUUAUCGCUGUUAUUACGCUUAUUAACUUAGGAGGUUAUCGCCCAUGUCUCCGUCGUUCACUCAACUUGUUCUCUCUGUUUUUAAUCCCCGACAUUUCUGUUUUGUAAAGAGAAAAGCAAACGAGGAGGCAAACAAGAUAGGCGAGAGAUCACUUCAGACUUUGCACCAAGUCUGAACCUUUGAUCAAAAUGGAAAUGUAUGUGUGUACGUUUGCUGUGUGUGUGUUAAUCCACCCGUUUUUUCACGACAGCCUUGAUGGCAUUCCUUUGUUUUUUUAUCUUUUAUUCUCUCUCAAAGGUUGUUCCAAGGACCUGCGUUCAUCUUUGGAGGUCAAGACAAUUUGAAGUUUCUCCGAGACAGCCGAAAACGAGAUGUGAUGGGACGUCCCGUUGCUAUUAGUUGGGGGCCGUUAUUUUAAAACAUUUUCAGCUGAUGCCAUGAUUGGAACGACUGCUUUUCGUACAUGAAAUGUGUGCAGAGGCGGUGCAUAUUUGAGCAAACUUCUCAUGAGGACAGAGGACAGGGAAACACGGAAAUAACUGGCGGACAUGUUUGAAAAAAGUGGAGAAAUGGCAAGAGGUGGAAAAAAUAUUACAAGAAAGUAGAGACCACGUUCAAUGGGACGGAGAGAAAUUUGUGCCCAAACCGAUGCAACUCAGCCCAAUUUGGCCAAAUUUCGUGAUUCCCCAAUCGUUUCAGGAUCGCAACGUUCGUGUCCGUUACACGACCGCUGAACUGUCGGCGCCAAUCAAAAUGAUGGAACACGCAGAAUUGACUGUCACUCCCACCUCGUGUGAAGAUCUGCAGAGAAUGGGACACAAACUGAGCGGAUUUUAUUCCGUCAAGGGAUCGAAGAAGAUGGAAACCGUUUACUGUGAAUUCUAUCCCAAUCAAAAUGACUAAACAGAAAUGGAUCGGAUACACUGACGUCGAUUCGGCGUCCGUCCAUUUCUACGU